AAACGACUGCUAAUACUCUAUACUCCUGCUUAACACAAGUUGAGUAGGGAAAGUUUUUCGGUGUAGGAUGAGACUAUAUAGUAUCAGCUAGUUGGUAAGGUAAUGGCUUACCAAGGCUAUGACGCUUAACUGGUCUGAGAGGAUGAUCAGUCACACUGGAACUGAGACACGGUCCAGACUCCUACGGGAGGCAGCAGUAGGGAAUAUUGCGCAAUGGGGGAAACCCUGACGCAGCAACGCCGCGUGGAGGAUGACACUUUUCGGAGCGUAAACUCCUUUUCUUAGGGAAGAAUUCUGACGGUACCUAAGGAAUAAGCACCGGCUAACUCCGUGCCAGCAGCCGCGGUAAUACGGAGGGUGCAAGCGUUACUCGGAAUCACUGGGCGUAAAGGGCGCGUAGGCGGAUUAUCAAGUCUCUUGUGAAAUCUAAUGGCUUAACCAUUAAACUGCUUGGGAAACUGAUAGUCUAGAGUGAGGGAGAGGCAGAUGGAAUUGGUGGUGUAGGGUAAAAUCCGUAGAUAUCACCAAGAAUACCCAUUGCGAAA
rnacentral:rRNA from 1 species